AAGGGCUCUUCUGAAAUUUGACUCAGUCUCGUCCACAUGGUGACUUUGUGAACCUUUGUCUUUGUCCACAGGGCUGAUUUUAAUUUGUCCUAAAUUUUUUUCCCAAAUGGUAUCAAAAUUUCCUAGCUGUUUUCACCUUCGGAUAGCUCAUGAAGAUCACAGUAUUUAUCAUUCUGUAGGGCUGUUGAUGCUGAAUCGUGUGACUGGACAUUUGCAAGAAAAGAUUGGGGUAGUAGAGUGGUAGCAUCCAUCUUGGUCGUCGGAUGCCCUUUCAGGAAAGAACGUGGGGACAUUAGUUUUUUCCCCUUAGCUCUCCUUGUCUUUCCAGCCCUCUUACUUCAUGUCCUUUAUUUUCCAUUUAAGAGGUAAUUUGCAAACUCGGCACCUUAACAACCAGUGCUACAGGCUCCGUGCCAAGCUCCAUGUUAACACAGUGCCCAGGAACAAGAAAAAAAAUUCUCGAUUGUUUCCGUUUAUGAGAUUAUCCAGGCCCACAGUGCUUCAGAAGAAAUUGCUGGGACAGGGUGGAGGAUUUGAAGUUAUUAUUUACUAAUACCCAGCGUCUAUGUAGUGUUUAUGUUCCUUUUGCCUAGAUCGCCUCCUCCUUAGACCAGCCCACCCGUCACCCAGCUCGGCAAGCGGGGCACACGCAGGUUUCAAGUGCCCCAUUUGUUCCAAGUCUGUGGCUUCUGAUGAGAUGGAAAUGCACUUUAUAAUGUGUCUGAGCAAACCUCGCCUCUCCUACAACGAUCCAGACUCCAGUGGACUCUCGGAGGUUUCCAUUAGCGUGUCCCAGUGGAGACACCUGGUCAUCACCUGCCACUUGCGCAGCUGCCCUGGUCAGCGCAUGCCAUCCCUCCCUCCUUGCCCUCAUGGCUAGUGCAGGCCCUGAGUCCUUCCCUCCAGCGCUGCUGCAUCCUCCUCCAGAGCGGGCUCCCCGUCUCUGAGCUUUGCCAGCCCAUUCUCCGGUACUCAGCAGAGACCAGCUGCAAUCGGGAUGCACUUCCAGAGCUUCGAAGUGAACCAGAUGAAGCCCGGGCACCACAGCAGAACACGAGUUCAUCCUGGGGGUGUCAGGCUCACCCCCCUGCCCCACUGUGGCCCCACGGCUCUCUGCACACACCAUAGCAAACUUCCUGCUGUUCCCAGUGCACAGAUACUGUUCCCUUUGCCUGAAGUCCUUCCCUGAACAGUCCCCACCCUGAUAGGGCAUCAGCCAUACCCUCAUUCCUGGACUUGUAUGCAUCGUAAGGCUUCCUAGAAAUUGGUGUGCUGUUCAUUUCCGUUUUCUUGUCCGCCUCCCCUGUGAGACUAUGACUUCAAUCCUGAGAUUGUGGCUUCUUUACGGAGUUGCCGGCACCAGAAUGUCAUAGAAAUUCAAUAAGGGGCUGCUUCCCCAGCCACGGUGCUCCCCCUAUUUUUCUCAGGCUUUUCCAGCUGUGGCUGUGCAAGGGGCCUGUGGUGUGCAGUAGCUUCCUUCCAUUCUUUUUUUUGUGAGGGAACUUUUUUUCUUUUUUUUUUAAACUGAGUCAUAGUAGCAUUUAGGACCUUCCCAAUGCUGUGCUACCACCAUCUCCGUCUAGUUACUAAUUUUCAAAAGAAACCCCCCCCCGUGAUUGUACUUUUAUCUAAAAUAGAGUCCAUCUCAAAGAGCCAGAGGGUAGAAUGGUAUGCACCAGGGGCCAAGGGGACAGGGAAGUGGGGAGUUGCUAUUCGAGGGGUGUAGAGUUUCAGUCACGCCAGAAGAGUAAGUUCUGGAGACCUGGCGCCCAGCUUUGUGCCUGCAGUUGGCAAUACUGUCCUGCACACUUAAAAA